rnacentral:rRNA from 1 species
ACAGCAGCAGCCGCGGGAAAACGGAGGGAGCUAGCGUUGUUCGGAAUUACUGGGCGUAAGCGCACGUAGGCGGCUUUGUAAGUUAGAGGUGAAAGCCUGGAGCUCAACUCCAGAACUGCCUUUAGGACUGCAUCGCUUGAAUCCAGGAGAGGUGAGUGGAAUUCCGAGUGUAGAGGUGAAAUUCGUAGAUAUUCGGAAGAACACCAGUGGCGAAGGCGGCUCACUGGACUGGUAUUGACGCUGAGGUGCGAAAGCGUGGGGAGCAAACAGGAUUAGAUACCCCCGUAGUCCCUGUCUCUUAUACC